UAUAAAGACGGUUAUUACGCUCUGACCAAAGCUUGUAUAUAGUUGCUUGUGCAGCAAGUCGACGGAGCGUUGUGGGGCAGGUAGAAUCCGGUGAACUAAGCCAGUCACCAAAAGCUGUCCAAAGCUUGUAUAUAGUUGCUUGUGCAGCAAGUCGACGAUGCUUCAUUUCAAUCCCUUAUAAAAUAUAGAUAGUGUUCCAUGCAAUGUAAGUUGUGUAAGAAAGCAAACAAGCUAAAAAUGGCUAAAGAGAAAGCAUAUGUAAUUGCUCUUCUUCUUCUAUUUUUGCUCCUAUGUCUUUCUUCUCAAGUUGAUGUUGCCGACGGCAGACGCCACACAAGUACCGGGUAUUCUGAUUCUCGAUGUGCCGAUAAAUUUCCAGCAACUCCUCCACCACCAGGCUCCGCUCCUGUCCCGAUAGCAUCUGCUCCGAGGUCUACGUCACCAAGAGGAAAAGGCCCAUAACUCCAUAUAUCAUGAGAAGUGCAAGAAGAGUAAGAAACCUUAGCUGUUUGUUGUAUAACUCGUAUCUCGAAUUUUACGUAGAUGUAAACGUAAAAUUAUAAAAUUAAAUAAUUAUGUGUAAACUUUUAGAUAAAAGAAAAUUAUGAACGUUUAGUUAUGAAAACAUGUCAGCCAUCAACAUCAGGUAAAGGAACCUAAUCAUAUAUGAACUUGCGCAUUUCACCCGCCGAAAGUGACGGAGGACAACGCACUCGAAUUUAAACAAUGGAUAAAGGCCCAUUAAGACUAUCUACAAUGGUUACUAAAUUCAACACCUAUAAUAAAAACAAUGGAAAAGUAUUUUUUUAUUCAUAACAUAAAAAUUAC